UCAGCAGUCCAAGCGGCAGCCCCCUCUUUAUCGCUUUACAGCUUAAAAAGAGGGGGAGGAAAGUCCGGACUCCCUCCCCCACUUUUCGCGUUGCGCAAAAGUGGGGGACAAAAAGGUAGCGGGUAACUCCCGCCGAGGGAAACCUUAGAGGUGCGAGCAGAGACGUCCGAGGCCGAAAGGCCGAGGAUAUCCGCCGAUGAAACGGAUAAGUUCCGGCGGUAACACCGGAAGUGAAACGGCUAAAUCCUUACCGGGUGCAAGACCGUAUCCAAAGGGGUGAGUCGCUUGAGCCCGAGAGUAAUCAAGGGCCUUAGAUGAAUUGCCGCAUAAACAGAAUCCGGCUUACGGACUAGCUUAUCCC
rnacentral:RNase_P_RNA from 2 species